CACUCCAGGGAAAAAGUCAGGUCCACGAGCUGGUGUGGCAAAUGCAGAUCCAGAGACCUCAGUGCACUGGCAGGUGUAGGUCCGUUUCAGAAAACCUUGUGACCUCAGAAAAACGUGAGCUCAGAGACCUCUAAGACCAUUUUCAUGUUUUAGAGAUUUAUCUUUAAGACUGUAGAUUUUCACCUUAUAACCAGUUCUCUGGCAUUUACUAUGUCAUCUCAGACAAGUCACUAAAUCUUGUUAAGUCCCAAACCUCAGUCCCCUCAUCAGUUUUGAGGGGAUAAUUCUAUACUCAUAACACUGGAUGAAGUUUAAAUGAGUUAACCUGUAGGAUGCUUAGAAUGGUACCUGGCACUCAGUGUGGACUCAGUAAAUAUUAGCUGUUAUUAAUGCACAGCAAGUUCCUAAAGCAUGGCCCUAUCUCAUAGAAAAGCCACUUGGAUUAUUACUGUAGGAUGUGUAUGGGAAUGUUUGCAAAACUAUACAUACCUUGAGAUGGGAAGAAUAAAGGAUGGAUCAUUUGCUAUGAUGUCAAAACCACCAAAAAGAGUAUGAGCCACUACUUUAGGACUUUGGUGAAAAGUUAAGGGAGUCUUUCUUAUGACCAGGAUAUCCAGUUCCAUAGACUGACCUGAGCUUCCCAAUGAAGCAUAGAGAUAUGACAUGGAUGAAGGGAUUGCAGGAUUCCCAAGAAAUGAAGCAAUUAUUUGACUUUAAAAUAGUUGCUAACUGGCAAGUGUGGCAGGCGGUGGAAUGCUCCAGACCGGUGACAAGGAUUUAAGUAAGAAGGUGGCCCUCACACUGCCAUGCAGCUCUCCUCAUGACUGGAAAUUAUCGUUUACUUCCCUCUCUCUUGAGCUGAGCUCCUUGGAGCAGGACUCCUGCCUGACGGGACCACCCUCGCCCCUGGCACGGUAAGUGGUUACAUACUAGGCCUUGGUAGGUAAAUACUUGCUGUAAACACGAAGCCUACAGGUUCAGAAGGGUCUGAGGGCUGAAUCAACGGCCUCCACGCAGCUCGCGGCCGCUGGGGACCGCGCGGAAUCCACUUCACGCGGGUGUGCUCGGACACCAGCGGCGACACAGCUCCUCCCCCGCGCUCUGCGCUAGGCCCCUGGG